GAAACUUUUGGGGAAGUUCCCAAAAACUUUGGGAGAACUGUGUUCCCCUGAAGUUUGGAGGGUGAGAAGUGAAAGAGGUUGAGAAGAAUGAGUUGGCUGGGUUGGACAUUCAGAGGUGACAAUGGUCAGAUCAACCUUGAUGGAGUCUCACUCUGUCACCAGGCUGGAGUGCAGUGGUGCGAUCUCAGCUCACUGCAAUCUCCGCCUCCCGGGUUCAAGCGAAUCCCCUGCCUCAGCCGCCCGAGUAGCUGGGACUACAAGCACGCACCACCACACCCGGCUAAUUUUUUGUAUUUUUUUAGUAGAGACGGGGUUUCACCAUGUUGGCCAGAAUGGUCUCGAUCUCUUGACCUCGUGAUCUGCCUGCCUCGGCCUCCCAAAGUGUUGGGAUUACAGGCCUGAGCUACUGUGCCUGGUGGCUAGUUCUUAAGAGGGAGGUAUGAGACAUAUGUAUAGACAAUUGAAAGGAAAAUAUCUUGGGCCCCCAAAAUCACUAAACUAAAAGGAAAAUUUAAGCUGGAAACUGCUCAGAGCAAACCUGCCUCCCAUUCUAUUCAAAGUCAUCCCUCUGCUCACUAAGAUAAAUGCAUAUUCUGAUUGGCUCCUUUGGAAAAGCUAAUUAGAAACUCAAAAGAAUGAAACUAUUUGUCUCUCACCUACCUGUGACCUGGAAGACCCCUCCCUGCUUCAAGUUCUCCCUGCCUUUCUGGACAAAACCAGUGUACUUCUUACUCUACUGAUUAAUGUCUCACGUCUCCCUAAAGUGUAUAAAACCAAAUUAUGCCCUCACCGCCUUGGGCACAGGUCGUCAGGACUUCCUGAGGCUGUGUCAUGGGCAUGUGUCCUCAGCUGUGGCAAA